rnacentral:rRNA from 1 species
CCUACGGGGGGCUGCAGUGGGGAAUUUUGGGCAAUGGGGGAAACCCUGACCCAGCGACGCCGCGUGGAGGAUGAAGGCCUUCGGGUUGUAAACUUCUUUGGCCAGGGACGAUAAUGACUGUACCUGGAGAACAAGCCACGGCUAACUACGUGCCAGCAGCCGCGGUAAUACGUAGGUGGCAAGCGUUAUCCGGAAUUACUGGGUGUAAAGGGCGUGUAGGCGGCCUUAUAAGUUGGGUGUUUAAUUCCCGGGCUCAACCCGGGGUUGUCACUUAAAACUGUAGGGCUUGAGGCUCAGAGAGGACAGUGGAAUUCCUAGUGUAGCGGUAAAAUGCGUAGAUAUUAGGAGGAACACCAGUGGCGAAGGCGGCUGUCUGGCUGAGUACUGACGCUGAUGCGCGAAAGCGUGGGGAGCAAACAGGAUUAGAUACCCCUGUAGUC